CUAACAAGGAUUCCCCUAGUAACGGCGAGUGAAGCGGGAUGAGCUCAAAUUUGUAAUCUGGCGGUCUCGCGGCCGUCCGAGUUGUAAUCUGGAGAAGCGUUUUCGGCGCCGGUCCGCGUACAAGUCCCCUGGAACGGGGCGUCGCAGAGGGUGAGAAUCCCGUCUUUGACGCGGUCCGCCGGUGCCGUGCGAUGCGCUCUCGAAGAGUCGAGUUGUUUGGGAAUGCAGCUCAAAACGGGUGGUAAAUUCCAUCUAAAGCUAAAUACUGGCGAAAGACCGAUAGCGAACAAGUACCGUGAGGGAAAGAUGAAAAGCACUUUGGAAAGAGAGUCAAACAGUACGUGAAAUUGUUGAAAGGGAAACGCUUGAAGUCAGUCGCGUCUCUCGGGACUCAGCCGGGUUGGUUCUCGGUGUAUUUCCCGAGUCCGGACGGGCCAGCAUCGGUUUCGACCGUCGUAAAAAGGCUUGAGGAACGUGGCACCCUUCUGGGUGUGUUAUAGCCUCUCGUCGUAUGCGACGGACGGGACCGAGGAACGCAGCGCGCCCCUUCGCGGGGCCGGGGUUCGCCCACGUAACGCGCUUAGGAUGCUGGCGUAAUGGCUUUAA
rnacentral:rRNA from 1 species